AUAAACACAAAGAAUAGACGAAGUACUGCUGCUUUUAUUUUAGAGAGAUCACGGGUGGUGGAAGUGAUCAUAAAAGAGUAGGAAAUGCACCUAUGAGUGGCUUUGACGCAAGUCAAAGACGGCCUAGCGAACGUUACCCGCUUUGAGGCAGACAAGUUGUCUGCAAACAAAAGUGGAACCACGCAAGAAAGCGUCUUUUGG
rnacentral:ncRNA from 1 species